ensembl:lncRNA
UAGGGUUGCUGCCUUCAGAGACACUUAGCUCAGGGAACAACAAGCAUGAGCGCAAAUCAUUACAGUCCCACGGUGCUAUCCAUCCACUGCAGGACUUCAGAAGCUACGUACUCAAACAUAAUGUGAAGCGUUAUUCUUCCUCCAAGUCAGUAAUCGUCACCAACAUCGGUGGGGCAGGAGAAGAGGAAGGUACAGAUGAAGGAAAAGAAAGAGAAACCAGCCACCUGGACUCAUGGAGAGGGAAGACCCUCUGGAGGCCUUGGAACAUGGAAUUGUCUUAUCGGAAGACCAUUCCUGUGCCUCUAAUAAAGGAAAAUUAGCCCUGAGCUAACAUCUGUGCCAAUCUUCCUCUACUUUGUAUGUGGGAUGCCUCCACAGCAUGGCUGAUGAGUGGAGCAAGUCUGCACCCUGGAUCCGAACCAGCGAACCUGGGCCACCAAAGCAGAGAGUGCAGAACUUUAACCGCUCGACCCUGGACGGACCCCCUAUGCAUUUGCUUGUAUUUUUGAUGAACCUCAUCUACACGCUCCAAAUUCCUAAUUUGCAAAACCUGGAAUGAGUCAGAUAAGCUUUUCACGCCUGAGCACUAACAUGAGGUUGCUGGUCUGAAACAUUUCCAAGGUUCCCUCCAACAUUCUGGCCAAUGCACUAUGUUCUCUGAUUUUCAGGCCCAUGCUUUGAUUUGGAUAUAAUUCUCUCAUUUCUAUACUUUGACAACUCUAGACAAGUCUGAGAUGUCUUCCUGACCCACUGUGGUCUAUUCCUCUUCUUCCUUCUCCAUAUUCCCAGUGAAUAGCUCCUCCGUAUCCAAGAUGAUAGAUGUCUGAGAACCUACCAUCCUGUGCAGAUGACUGUGUGUGUCUAGUCUUGGAACUCUUCAAAAAUAAGGACAGCACAUUUUAUCUUAUAUUCCUGCACAUAGUAUAGUUCUUGGCACAUAACAGACGUGCAAUGAGUAAACACUGACACUCUCUUAUACACAUUUCAUGGCCAGUACUGUGUGGGUUCUUGUUUGAGAACAGUUACGUAAGUACAGAAUAGGUUCAGGAUAUGACAGAUUGUGGUUAUUUUGGAUAAAAUUUAAAAUGACCCAAUUUUAAGCACAGUUAAGAGGUUCUUGGACAUAUGAAGAAUGCUCAUGUUUGCCUCAGGGAUAUUAACUAAGGAAAGAAAAACAUCUUUAGUACAAACAUCAUUGAAAUUACAUUUAAAGACGUCUUGCCAAUUCAUCAUACACAGAUAAAUCUCCUAAUCUCCUAAAAGAAACAUUUCUGUUGUAGCUUUUAUGUUAUUCAGCUUUAUGGACUUAAAUAUAUAUAAAGAAGGAUAUUCAAGAUUCCAAGAGCAGAACUUCAAUUUAUAUAACUUUACUCUGUUAAGAAAAAAGAGUUUCAUUUAACUUAAAACGUUUACCUUGUGAUCAUAAUGAGGAACCAAUUAGAUUGUAAGUCUCUUCCCAACAAAUCCUAGAUCUAGAAUCUAGAACCCUGAAUUGCUCUUGCCUCAUUCUACUAACCUGAAGGCCUAUGAUUAUCACAUUAAACAGAAUUACAAAGCCCUGGAUCCACAAUUCAAAUCUUCAGGAUUUGUGUCUUUGUCAGGAAAUGGAUUAUUCUAAUUCGCUGGUCAGAAGCGAUAACCAAGAAACAGCUAGAAACACUAUUUUAUUGUUUUGGAGACGAUCACAUAUGGCCAAAGGAAACUUUGACUUUAAUCAGCACUAAUAAUGUAUAUGGGUCACUUGUCCUCUAGAUAGGGGACAGUCUUUUAUGUGUCGGCACAGAAACAGAUGAUUGUCUGACAAUACUAAACCACUGGCCUUGUUGAGAAGUGAUUGAUCAGCUUGCAUAUCCUCAAAAUCACCUCCAACUUGUGUCCAUCCUAAUCACUGUUUCUCAACAAGAGUGGAAGAUCCCACCCAGGCAGCUUUUUGGCAUCUAUGGAUCAGACUUUUUCAAGAUGCAGAACUUCUGGAGAUUCAGAGUUUUUUUUGGUGCAGUCACUGCAGGGCAAUGAGAUGAAAGAUGGGGAAAAGCACAAUCCGAGUCUGGGGCUCACCACUCCCUUCUGAGUUCUCAUGAAGAGCAAGGCUCCUUCUGAGCCCUGAUGCCCAAUAGCCCCUGGAGGGAGCCUGCCUUAUUUCUCAGGAUCGUGGAUGAGAAGACUGGCCUUGGCUUCCCU